CUACGGGGUGCUGCAGUGGGGAAUAUUGCACAAUGGAGGAAACUCUGAUGCAGCAACGCCGCGUGGAGGAUGACACUUUUCGGAGCGUAAACUCCUUUUAUAUAGGAAGAUAAUGACGGUACUAUAUGAAUAAGCACCGGCUAACUCCGCGCCAGCAGCCGCGGUAAUACGGAGGGUGCAAGCGUUACUCGGAAUCACUGGGCGUAAAGAGCGUGUAGGCGGGUUAAUAAGUCAGAAGUGAAAUCCUAUGGCUCAACCAUAGAACUGCUUUUGAAACUGUUAACCUAGAAUAUGGGAGAGGUAGAUGGAAUUUCUGGUGUAGGGGUAAAAUCCGUAGAGAUCAGAAGGAAUACCGAUUGCGAAGGCGAUCUACUGGAACAUUAUUGACGCUGAGACGCGAAAGCGUGGGGAGCAAACAGGAUUAGAUACCCGGGUAGUC
rnacentral:rRNA from 1 species